UGGGGAAUAUUGCGCAAUGGGCGAAAGCCUGACGCAGCGACGCCGCGUGAGGGAUGAAGGUUUUCGGAUCGUAAACCUCUGUCAGAAGGGAAGAAACCGCACUGUGCUAAUCAGCAGUGCCUUGACGGUACCUUCAAAGGAAGCACCGGCUAACUCCGUGCCAGCAGCCGCGGUAAUACGGAGGGUGCAAGCGUUAAUCGGAAUUACUGGGCGUAAAGCGCACGUAGGCUGCUUUGUAAGUCAGGGGUGAAAUCCCACGGCUCAACCGUGGAACUGCCUUUGAUACUGGUUAGCUUGAAUCCGGGAGAGGGUGGCGGAAUUCCAGGUGUAGGAGUGAAAUCCGUAGAUAUCUGGAGGAACAUCAGUGGCGAAGGCGGCCACCUGGACCGGUAUUGACGCUGAGGUGCGAAAGCGUGGGGAGCAAACAGG
rnacentral:rRNA from 1 species